UCAUAUCCUCCAUUCCUUACCUGACCCCUUACAGACGCAGAUGCCGGAUCCGAAGACAUUCAAGCAGCACUUUGAGAGCAAGCAUCCCAAGUCCCCAAUGCCACCAGAGCUGGUUGAUGUUGAGGCUUAAAACGAUCACACACACAACGGACCUACAGUUGGGAUACACGAUUUUAACACUGCGACUGGUAUAAUGGCGUCAAGGGACAUAACACUGAGACCCCUGGACAUGGGUGGGGGAAUGUUUGUGUGACGACGUACAAUGGGGGCAGAAGCUCACCAGCCCCCCCAUCUUAUAUGUCCAACCACCCCUGAACGUCAGACUGUAUUGAAGCAACCAUCUUACUUCUAUGAGCCCACUCUACGUACAUCCCAUAUUCCUAUGCUGCUUCCUUCACUUAAUUCCUCUUUCAAUAACAUCUAGACUAAUUUACAAGUCUACAAGUUUCAUGACUUUUUUUGCUACUUCUUCUCAUCUGUAUACUGCUGUCCUACGUUUGCCCCCAACUCUUUUCUAUACCUCCUCCCAUGCACUCUUGUUCAGAUGUUCUUGAUCAUUUCUGCUUUCUUUGAGGAGGGUGUCAUGGAUUUGAUAUAAGAUCAAGACCGUACCUGGUUCUGCCUAUAUAAAGACCCUGGUCGAAACGAGGCCAAAUCCUGUAGUAGUUUUGGUCUGUAUGCAAAGAUCACUUUUGAUAAUCCAUGUUGUAACCAUUUUUGUUGUUGUUGCUUUUUACCAUUUCCAAUAAAUGUUGCGAUAUAUAUGGAAGCA